UAUCAUAUUAAAAUAUGAGGGGACAAACCUCAUCGGAGUAUGGUCAAAGCUCCGAUAUGAACCCAAUAAUUAUAUUUGGUUUUACUCCCGUA